GUGAAUCAUCGAAUCUUUGAACGCAAAUUGCACUCUCUGGUAUUCCGGAGAGUAUGCCGGUUUGAGGGUCAGUUUUAAUAAAAAUCGGUGUGGUUUCUGCCUUUCGUGGUGACGGGCCGGAUUGGUGUCGUCUUUCCUUCGGUUAAGUGACCUAAACUUUUGCUUGAUUUCUCUCGAAUGUAUUUACAUGAUUUUUCGUACGUUUGCGAUAUAGUAUACUAGGUGUUCUCAUCCUCAUGAUUC
rnacentral:misc_RNA from 1 species